GGUGCUAUAGUGUAGUGGUUAUCACUCGAGAUUUUGAUAACUCAUUAAAUUCUCGAAACCCAGGUUCGAACCCUGGUAGGACCU
rnacentral:tRNA from 1 species